rnacentral:antisense_RNA from 1 species
CUUCACCGACCCCAGCCACAGCGGGUCCCCGGAGCGCCCGCGCCCGUAGGUGGCCAGCAGCGCGUGCGCCUC